ACCUUCGGUGGUGUAGUUGGUAGCACCAAGGUACAGUAAUUAUGUGUCCUAGGUUCAAGUCCCGGUCGGGGUA